AGGAAUUGGCGGGGGAGCACCGCAACGGGAGGAGCGUGCGGUUUAAUUGGAUUCAACACCGGAAAACUCACCAAGGGCGACUAUCACAUGAAAGCCAGGCUAAUGACCUUGCUUGAUUCUUAGAGAGGUGGUGCAUGGCCGUCGUCAGUUCGUACCGUAAGGCGUUCUCUUAAGUGAGAUAACGAACGAGACCCUCAUCUAUAAUUGCUACUUCACCCUUCGGGGUGGAGGCACAUUAUCGAGACCGCUGGCGCUAAGUCAGAGGAAGGAGAGGUCAACGGUAGGUCAGUAUGCCCCGAAUCUCUUGGGCUACACGCGCGCUACAAAGGGCGGGACAAUGGGCUACGACGCCGAAAGGCGAAGUCAAUCUCGAAACCCGUCCGUAGUUCGGAUUGAGGGUUGUAACUCACCCUCAUGAAGCUGGAUUCCGUAGUAAUCGCGAAUCAAAAACUCGCGGUGAAUAUGUCCCUGCUCCUUGCACACA
rnacentral:rRNA from 1 species